rnacentral:rRNA from 1 species
AUUGAACGCUGGCGGCAUGCCUAACACAUGCAAGUCGAACGGUAACAGGCAGUAGCUUGCUUCUUUGCUGACGAGGGGCGGGCGGUUGAGUGAUAUCUGGGCAACUGCCUGAUGGAGGGGGAUAACUACUGUAAUCGGUAGCCAAUACCGCUUAACGUCGCAAGACCAAAGAGGGGGACCUUCGGGCCUCUUGCCAUCGGAUGUGCGCAGAUGGGAUUAGCUAGUAGGUGGGGUAACGGCUCACCUAGGCGACGAUCCCUAGCUGGUCUGAGAGGAUGACCAGCCACACUGGAACUGAGACACGGUCCAGACUCCUACGGGAGGCAGCAGUGGGGAAUAUUGCACAAUGGGCGCAAGCCUGAUGCAGCCAUGCCGCGUGUAUGAAGAAGGCCUUCGGGUUGUAAAGUGCUUUCAGCGGGGAGGAAGGGAGUACAGUUAAUACCUUUGCUCAUUGACGUUACCCGAAGAAGAAGCACCGGCUAACUCCGUG